GUCUUUAAGAAUUUAAUUUAAAGUCAAAUCUGCCCAAUGAAUUUAUUUAAAUGGCUGCAGAAUUUUUACUGUACAAAGGUAGCAUAAUAAUUUGUUUUUUAAUUAAAAACUAGAAUGAAAGAUUUAAUGAAAUAUAAACUCUUUUAAUUAAAUUUAUAUUAAAUUUUUUAUUUAAGUUAAAAAACUUAAAUAAAUUUUAAAGACGAUAAGACCCUAUAGAAUUUAAUUUAUUUAAUUAUUAUUUAAUUAUUAAAUAAAUUUUAUUGGGGUAAUAAAAAAAUUAAAAAAAUUUUUUUUAAAAUUAACAUUUUUAAUGAAUAUUAAAUCUUAAUUUUUAAAUUAAAAAAAUUAAUUACCUUAGGGAUAACAGCAUAAUUUUUUUUAAAAGAUCUUAUUAAUAAAAAAGAUUAU
rnacentral:rRNA from 1 species